UACAGAGGGUGCAAGCGUUGCUCGGAAUUAUUGGGCGUAAAGGGAGUGUAGGCGGCUAGGUAAGUCUUCUGUGAAAGCUACGGGCUCAACCCGUUAAAGUGCAGAAGAUACUGUUUGGCUUGAGUGUCGGAGAGGAUAGUGGAAUUCCCGGUGUAGAGGUGAAAUUCGUAGAGAUCGUAAGGAAGACCAGUGGCGAAGGCGGGUCUCUGGACAGUUCCUGACACUGAGGCACGAAGGCCAGGGGAGCAAACGGG
rnacentral:rRNA from 1 species